CCCCUCGCCGCAUCGGGGUCAUGAUGCGGUUCCUCCCUGUUGGACUGGCCGGGCGCAAGCCCGGCCUUUUUU
rnacentral:ncRNA from 1 species